AACCUAAACCUAACCCAGUAACCCCCAUUCGGCCAUUCCCCCAAGCCCCAAUCCCAAACGAACCCUAGCCCCUCUCUCCCUACUCCCUAGGUCUCACAGCCUCGCUCUCUGCAACUCCCAUCGCCGGUGAGAGACCUCCUCCCACCACCUCGCAGCCACCGCCACCUUCCUCCCAGCGCAGCCAUUCCACUGCUCCCACCCAGGACCUCCUCGCGGACAGAGCAGCCCAGCACUGCAGCACACAACCAGCGCCCAGCGCCCAGCAGGUUGGCACCACGCUUGCAAGUCGCACCCACCACCACCCUCGGUCCCUCGCAACUCGCAAAUCGCACCUAGCAGGCCAGGACCACCCACUCACCCAGGACCACCCAGGACCACUCGAUAGCCUAUUGCAAAACGCAGAGAAGACAGAAGAGAACUCGAACGCAGCUUGGAGGAAGCACCGAAGCAGCCAUCUCUCGUCGCCGUUCCUCAACGCCCAGCCACCGUCGCCGGCCUCGCCUUCUGCCUCCGUCGUGCAGCCACUGUCUCGACGGUGCCACUUCUGUUCCAUCGCGUCAGCCCUUCGGUCGUGCCCUGUUCCUUUCUUGCUACUGAUCUGCUCUGCUCUGUUCUGGCAUUUAGUUCUAGGAUGAUAUACCCAAUCAAUCAACAUCUUGGAGGCAACUUGAAUUAAUGCUGUUUAACUGUGGUUAAUCUUGUCUAAUUUGAAAUUCAUUCGAUGCAAUCAAUUUACAUUUCAAAUGUAGAUGGCAUUGAUAUAUGUAAGGCCAACUGCCAAAGCGAACGGGAGUAGUGUUUCCAAAGCGUUCUUUAGAUGCGUCUCCAAUAUUUACUCCACCUCCUACCCAUCAAGCUUCAGGAAGUAUGCAUGCUGGAUAUGGGAUGCCAAGCGGUUCUUCAAAAACACUUGACAAAACAAUGGCAACAGAUAUAGAAACUUUGAGGUGAAAUUUCAAUUUUUUCACUAUGUUGCCAACCGCUGGUGCUGACCUCUGUCACCAGACUUGUGUAAACUAAAAUAUCUCUCCUUUUUCCUUGUCUUCUUUUAUUUUUUUUAUAAUUCAUAGUUUGUCAAGCUUGGAAUCCAUGCGCCAUGUUAUGGACCUGUUGAGUGACAUGCUUCAAGCUGUGAAUCCUAGUGACUGUACGGCUGUAAAAGACGAAGUAAUUGUUGAUCUUGUUGAUCGCUGUCGCACCAACCAGAAAAAUUGAUGCAGAUGCUAACAACAACUGGGGAUGAGGAGCUUCUUGGACGAGGCCUUGAACUAAAUGAUAGUAUUCAGAGUUUGCUUGCAAAACAUGAUGCAAUUGCUACAGGGAAUCCCCUUCCAAUUCAACGUGCAGGUUCCAGCACUCCACCAGGUGAAGUUCUGCCAGAUGAAGCUAACUCAAAUUUCAAUCAAACUGAUGUGCGGAGCCCCAGCCAUCAGACUGACAUGAAGAGCCCCAGCCGCAGUCCCGUAGAGUCUAUUUCAAUGAUUGUACUCUGAACACUCCACAAGCUCUAAGGUUCAAUCACAAAAAGGGGCUGCAAGGGAACAAAAAUAAAUCAAAACAAUGAUGAUGGACAAGUUAAUCUGUUACUUUGAAAAUUUUUUACAUUCUCGGAUCAAUGUAUCUGAAUAUAACUAGGAUCUGGAUAUGGUGAUAGAAGGAUGUAUCAAAUUUUCACUGCGAGAUUAAGGGGAACAAAAGAAGUAUUUAGUUGAAGACCUAGAAUGUACUUACCAUGUCAACACUAACAGGCUUGCCAUCUUCUGCAAGGAUUUCGACUAUAGUUCCUGAUUGAUCAGCCUGUAUAUACACACACAAGACACAAAUUUGUAGUUCAAGAUGGAAAGAAAAUCUGAAGAACUGUGAAGUGAAGAUAAUGCUACAACUUAUGCAUCUCCCAUUGCUUUUUAAAUUUGCAUCCCAUAGUUACUAACCAAGAAAAUCAAGUUGGUUUACUGGUUCACUAUGCAAU